rnacentral:rRNA from 1 species
UACGAAGGGGGCUAGCGUUGCUCGGAAUCACUGGGCGUAAAGGGUGCGUAGGCGGGUUUUUAAGUCAGAGGUGAAAUCCUGGAGCUCAACUCCAGAACUGCCUUUGAUACUGAAAGUCUUGAGUAUGGGAGAGGUGAGUGGAACUGCGAGUGUAGAGGUGAAAUUCGUAGAUAUUCGCAAGAACACCCGUGGCGAAGGCGGCUCUCUGGAACGCAACUGACGCUGAGACGCGAAAGCGUGGGGAGCAAACAGGG